GACGAACGCUGGCGGCGUGCUUAACACAUGCAAGUCGAACGGUGAAGGAGAGCUUGCUCUCCGGAUCAGUGGCGAACGGGUGAGUAACACGUGGGCAACCUGCCCCAGACUUCGGGAUAACGCUUCGAAAGAGGUGCUAAUACCGGAUACGAACUCCUUGGGCAUCCUUGGAGCUGGAAAGUUUUUCGGUCUGGGAUGGGCCCGCGGCCUAUCAGCUUGUUGGUGAGGUAACGGCUCACCAAGGCGACGACGGGUAGCCGGCCUGAGAGGGCGACCGGCCACACUGGGACUGAGACACGGCCCAGACUCCUACGGGAGGCAGCAGUGGGGAAUAUUGCGCAAUGGGCGAAAGCCUGACGCAGCAACGCCGCGUGAGGGAUGACGGCCUUCGGGUUGUAAACCUCUUUCAGCAGGGAAGAAGCGAAAGUGACGGUACCUGCAGAAGAAGCACCGGCUAACUACGUGCCAGCAGCCGCCGUAA
rnacentral:rRNA from 1 species